UAACACAUGCAAGUCGAGCGGAUGACGGGAGCUUGCUCCUUGAUUCAGCGGCGGACGGGUGAGUAAUGCCUAGGAAUCUGCCUGGUAGUGGGGGACAACGUUUCGAAAGGAACGCUAAUACCGCAUACGUCCUACGGGAGAAAGCAGGGGACCUUCGGGCCUUGCGCUAUCAGAUGAGCCUAGGUCGGAUUAGCUAGUUGGUGGGGUAAUGGCUCACCAAGGCGACGAUCCGUAACUGGUCUGAGAGGAUGAUCAGUCACACUGGAACUGAGACACGGUCCAGACUCCUACGGGAGGCAGCAGUGGGGAAUAUUGGACAAUGGGCGAAAGCCUGAUCCAGCCAUGCCGCGUGUGUGAAGAAGGUCUUCGGAUUGUAAAGCACUUUAAGUUGGGAGGAAGGGCAGUAAGUUAAUACCUUGCUGUUUUGACGUUACCGACAGAAUAAGCACCGGCUAACUCUGUGCCAGCAGCCGCGGUAAUACAGAGGGUGCAAGCGUUAAUCGGAAUUACUGGGCGUAAAGCGCGCGUAGGUGGUUUGUUAAGUUGGAUGUGAAAGCCCCGGGCUCAACCUGGGAACUGCAUCCAAAACUGGCAAGCUAGAGUACGGUAGAGGGUGGUGGAAUUUCCUGUGUAGCGGUGAAAUGCGUAGAUAUAGGAAGGAACACCAGUGGCGAAGGCGACCACCUGGACUGAUACUGACACUGA
rnacentral:rRNA from 1 species